CCGUAGAUGUGGGGGGCGGGGGUGGGGUGGCUCCACCAGCCUCCCUAAGGCAUCCUCCAGACUGAGCCACACCUGGGAGAAAUUGAAAUCUUAGACUCUUCCCCUACCCCCGCUAAAGAGGCAGACAUCCCUGUCCCGGCCACGGAAGGCAGUAAAACACAGCUCUGCUGGGGCCAGGCUGUGGGCUGUGCCAGAAUAAGCAUUCAGAUUAGAGGAAGGAAACCAAGCAGGGUAUGUUGCAGGCUCCUAGCCAAAGCCUUCCUGCCCUGGUCCCCUCCUGCCAACUGGCCUUGGGCAUCCAAUCUGGGGUCCCAAACUCCCUAUCUCCACUGUCCCCACUCCAGUCACACGGAUGGUCCCAGAAGAUCUAGAGUGGAGAGAGGGAGAGGAUUUCAAAGGCCGCCUUCUUUAGGUAAGAAAUCUCUGCACCUAUCGGGCUGGUCCCAGGACAAGGGAUGGAUCGUAGAUGAACAUCUGCCACUCUUGCCACUGGGAAGAGCUGAUCAACUGUCCUGGUCUUCACCAAGUUCCAUGGCUGCUCCAGGGUCACCGUAACCUGAUUAGACUGCGUCUGGCUGCACAAGAGUUAAUCUCAGCCCCCCGCCCCCACCCCCUGCCCCAUGUGUGCACAAAUUCCAGGAACGCUUUCCAUUAAGGACGCUAGCUCCGAGCAGAUUUCAUUUACAUUAAUAAGAACCAGAAAAAUC